GAUGCUAUUGAAUGCCUUGUUAGAAUAUGGCCAUUCAUCAGACUGAAUGAUCUGAACAAGAGAACCACUGGAAAAACAAAAAAAUUUUAAAUUAAUAUUGUUAUAAAGUUAUAAACAAUAACUCACAUACUAUUUACUUACAAUAUUCAACCCACACAGAACUUGAAAGUAUACUAAACUAAAUAAUGAUAUGAAUACCUUAUAUAACUUAUUAUUAUUUAAAAUAGGUAUCUAAAAUAUUGAACAUUUGAACGUUAUUUUAAUAUUAAAACUUCAAAAUGCAAAUUUACGAUUUAAGAUAGUAUUAAUAAUAUUAUACUAGACAAUUGUCGCUACUACCAAUAGAAUACCACCAGUGCAGCAGCCAAUGAAAAAAGGCGGAAGACUCCCGCCACUUUCUAUGGUGAAAUGGAGGCCAGGGUUUAAAACAAUGGAAGUCCCUACAAAUAAAGGUAUUAUUAAUCACAAUCACAAAUAUAUACAUUGGCUGAUAUAGAAAACAACGAUAAUGGUAAUGUAACAGAAAUUCAGAAGCUUCCAUAUGAAGUCCUUAAUUUGGAAAGACCUCAAACUUAUACAUAGUUUUUGCCUUUUGGUGGACUACAGAAUUCAUAAGGGAUAAUCAAGCUUCUUUUAUUAUAAGAAUAAAAAUAUUAAAAAUUAAAUUUAUUUGGUAUCUAAUAGAAAAAAAUCUCAACAUUUGUGUCUGGCAACUGCUCAAAUAUCCUCUGAUCAAAAUGAUGAGAGGUUGACUUUGUGUUAGCCGCACAAUCAUAAAAUGAGGCCAUUCAACAUGGAUGUUCCAUUACUUAGGUAAACCUCAAUUUUUACAAAAUAGAAUUACGCAAAACAGUAUCUUCAUACACCUCAAGAGGAAUAUACUUGGAAGAAAUUGUUAAUUAAUGCAUAUUCUUUUUACCAUUUCAUAAAUGAAAUAAAUGCCUACUUAUUAUUGUGA